rnacentral:rRNA from 1 species
GUAAGUGGCAAGCGUUGUCCGGAAUUAUUGGGCGUAAAGCGCGCGCAGGCGGUUCUUUAAGUCUGAUGUGAAAGCCCACGGCUCAACCGUGGAGGGUCAUUGGAAACUGGAGAACUUGAGUACAGAAGAGGAAAGCGGAUUCCACGUGUAGCGGUGAAAUGCGUAGAGAUGUGGAGGAACACCAGUGGCGAAGGCGGCUUUCUGGUCUGUAACUGACGCUGAGGCGCGAAAGCGUGGGGAGCAAACAGGAUUAGAUACCCUGGUAGUCCACGCCGUAAACGAUGAGUGCUAAGUGUUAGGGGGUUUCCGCCCCCCUUAGUGCUGCAGCUAACGCAUUAAGCACUCCGCCUGGGAGUACGGCCGCAAGGCUG